CAAAGGGCAUACGGUGGAUACCUUGGCACCAGCAGCCGAUGAAGGACGUAGUAAGCUACGAAAAACUGCGGUGAGCUGCUAACGAGCUACGACCCGCAGGUGUCCGAAUGGGGAAACCCUCCUCCAUGCAAAUGGAGGAAUCUCUAACUGAAUCAAUAGGUUAGUGAAGGUAAUUCAGUGAAUUGAAACAUCUUAGUAACUGGAAGAAAAGAAAACAAAUCAGUGAUUCCCAAAGUAGCGGCGAGUGAAAUGGGAACAGCCUAAACCAAUUAGCAUGCUAAUUGGGGUUGUAGGACUGCAUUUAGUACUUGCAAAGUUAGUUGAACAAAGUUGGAAAGCUUGACCACAGAAGGUGAUAGUCCUGUAAACAACAACUAAGCAAGACGAGCAGUAUCCUGAGUAAAUCGGGGCACGUGAAACCCUGAUUGAAGCUACCAGGACCAUCUUGGUAAGGCUAAAUACUGACUGGUGACCGAUAGCGUACAAGUACAGCGAUGGAAAGGUGAAAAGAACCCCGGGAGGGGAGUGAAACAGAACAUGAAACCGUAUGCUUACAAGCAGUUAGAGCUAUUAUGUGCUUGCAUAUAGUAGUGAUAGCGUGCCUGUUGAAGAAUGAGCCGGCGAGUUAGUGUGUCUAGUUUGGUUAAGGAGUAAUAUCCGGAGCCACAGCGAAAGCGAGUCUGAACAGGGCGAUUUUAUUAGACAUAUUAGACCCGAACCUUGGUGAUCUAACCAUGACCAGGUUGAAGCGCAAGUAACAUUGCGUGGAGGACCGAACCAAUUAGUGUUGAAAAACUACUGGAUGAGUUGUGGUUAGGGGUGAAAUGCCAAUCGAACCAAGAGCUAGCUGGUUCUCCCCGAAAUGUAUUGAGGUACAGGGUCAACUUAAAGCUUUGUGGAGGUAGAGCACUAGUUCGGUAAGGGUGGUGAAUAACCAUACCGAAUCGAGUUAAACUCCGAAUGCCAUUAAAGUGAUAGUUGGCACUGAGACAGUGAGAGAUAAGUUCCAUUGUCAAGAGGGAAACAGCCCAGACCACCAUCUAAGGUCCCCAAGUUAAUGCUAAGUGACAAAGGAGGUGGAGUUACUUAGACAGCCAGGAGGUUGGCUUAGAAGCAGCCACCCUUUAAAGAGUGCGUAACAGCUCACUGGUCAAGUGAUUCUGCGCCGAAAAUGUCCGGGGCUAAAGCAUUACACCGAAGUUGUGGGUUUAUUACAUUUUGUAUUAAGCGGUAGGGGAGCGUUGUAUAGUAGGCUGAAGCCAGGUUGUAAAGCCUGGUGGACAAAAUACAAGUGAGAAUGUCGGCUUGAGUAGCGAAAAGGAAAGUGAGAAUCUUUCCCACCGAAAGCCUGAGGGUUCCCACGGAAGGUUCGUCCGCGUGGGGUUAGUCGGGACCUAAGCUGAGGCUGAAAAGCGUAGGCGAUGGACAGCAGGUUGAUAUUCCUGCACUACUAGGUAAUCGUUAUAGGUAUAUUGAGAAGUAGAAGGUUAGGUUGUGGCGGUUAAUGGAUUCCGCUCCACGCAUGUAGGUAGUCACUCUAGGCAAAUCCGGAGUGGCGUUAUGACCUGAGAUGUUAUGGUGAUUGUCUAAGGACAAGAAGCAAUCGAUACCACGCUAACAAGAAAAACAGUGUACUAAGAUUAUUUGGUACCCGUACCAGAAACCGACACAGGUAGGCUGGUAGAACAUACUAAGGUGCGCGAGAUAACUCUCUCUAAGGAACUCGGCAAAAUGCUCUCGUAAGUUCGCAAGAAGAGAGACUGUACUUUGUAAGAGGAGUUAACUUCCUUGAGCAUCGUACAGUGGCACAGAGCAGAUCCCUACGACUGUUUAACAAAAACACAGGUCUCUGCUAACACGCAAGUGGAUGUAUAGGGGCUGACGCCUGCCCAGUGCUGGAAGGUCACGGAAGUUGGUUAGGAGCAAUCCAAAGCUAGCGACCCAAGCCCCAGUGAACGGCGGCCGUAACUAUAACGGUCCUAAGGUAGCGAAAUUCCUUGUCGGGUAAGUUCCGACCCGCACGAAUGGCGUAACGAUAGGGGUACUGUCUCGGAGAGGGACUCGGCGAAAUAGAAUUAUCUGUGAAGAUGCGGAUUUGGUGUGCCUGGACAGAAAGACCCUAUUGAGCUUUACUGUAGGCUGGAAUUGGCCGCGGGCGUUGGAUACGUAGCAUAGUUGGGAGACUUUGAAACCUUGCUUUUGGGUGAGGUGGAGUCAACAGUGAAAUACCAAUUUUCUUACACCUGCGUUCUAACCGAGUACCGUUAUCCGGUACCGGGAAAGUUCCUGUCGGGCAGUUUGACUGGGGCGGUCACCUCCUAAAAAGUAACGGAGGUGCGCAAUGGUUCCCUCAGGUUGGUCGGAAAUCAACCGAUGAGUGCAAAAGCAUAAGGGAGCUUGACAGCGAGACAGACAUGUCGAGCUGGUACGAAAGUAGGCUUUAGUGAUCCGGUGGUUCCGCAUGGAAGGGCCAUCGCUCAACGGAUAAAAGUUACCAUAGGGAUAACAGGCUGAUCUCGCCCAAGAGUCCACAUCGACGGCGAGGUUUGGCACCUCGAUGUCGGCUCGUCGCAUCCUGGGGCGGUAGUACGUCCCAAGGGUUGGGCUGUUCGCCCAUUAAAGCGGCACGUGAGCUGGGUUCAGAACGUCGUGAGACAGUUCGGUCCAUAUCCGGCAUACCCGCAAGAUACUUGAGAGGAGACUUCCUUAGUACGAGAGGACCGGGAAGUACAGACCUCUGGUGUACCAGUUGUCACGCCAGUGGCAAACACUGGGUAGCCAUGUCUGGAGGGGAUAAGUGCUGAAAGCAUAUAAGUACGAAGCCCACCUCAAGAUAAGGUAUCUCAUACCAUAAGGUAGUAAGAUCUGCGAAAGACUAUCGCGUUGAUAGGCGGCAGGUGUAAGUGUAGCAAUACAUUCAGCCGAGCCGUACUAAUAGAUCGAGGGCUUGUUUU
rnacentral:rRNA from 1 species